CUGCCCCUGCCUUUGGGGGUCGACCCUUGUACUCGCAGGACCUUAGGUGACUCUAUUCUACUUCUCUGAUCAUCCAGGAAGCCAACCUGCCUGAGGACGAGUCAUACUCUGUCCUCCCACCCCAGGCCAGAGAGUGGUAUCUGUCUUUCCACAAGUUGGAUCUGAAUGAUGCAGUGUCGCAAUCCCAUUUUAUAAAUGAGGCAACCAAAACUCGAACAGGACCAUAUUGCGACUGAAACAAGGCAUAACAGGUCUUUGACUGGCUAUCCUGUGGAUGUGGACUCAGGCUAGCCUGCGCAAAGUGAAAGACAGGCAAUUAGAUUGAAAAAUACCUGUGAUUCAAAGAAGUCACAAGUCACAGAGACAAACUUUUCCCAGUGUGUUCGAGUCAGAGAACCUUUGCAAAGACCAACAGGCUAAAAGAGAAAAUACAAUGUCAUAUGGAGAAGCUUUGAGAACACUAUGCUAAGUGAAAGAAGCCAGAUACAAA
rnacentral:lncRNA from 1 species